rfam:Salmo salar isolate Sally breed double haploid chromosome ssa03, whole genome shotgun sequence.
UGCACGCAUGACUGUAAGUGCUUUGGAUAAAAGCGUCUGCUAAAUAGCAUAUA